GCAUAGGAAUCUACCCUCUAGAUGGGGAUACCGUAGGGAAACUUACGUUAAUACCGAAUAUGCUCUAAGGAGUAAAGGUGGCCUCUACUUGUAAGCUAUCGCUAGAGGAUGAGCCUAUGUUAGAUUAGCUAGUUGGUGAGGUAAUGGCUCACCAAGGCGACGAUCUAUAGCUGGUUUGAGAGGAUGAUCAGCCACACUGGGACUGAGACACGGCCCAGACUCCUACGGGAGGCAGCAGUGGGGAAUAUUGGGCAAUGGGCGCAAGCCUGAUCCAGCCAUGCCGCGUGUGUGAAGAAGGCCCGAGGGUUGUAAAGCACUUUUAGUGAGGAGGAAAGGUUAGUCGCUAAUAUCGGCUAACUGUGACGUUACUCACAGAAAAAGCACCGGCUAACUCUGUGCCAGCAGCCGCGGUAAUACAGAGGGUGCAAGCGUUAUUCGGAAUUACUGGGCGUAAAGCGCGCGUAGGCGGAUUGUUAAGUCAGUUGUGAAAGCCCUGGGCUCAACCUAGGAAUGGCGAUUGAAACUGGCAGUCUAGAGUUUAGUAGAGGGAAGGGGAAUUUCUGGAGUAGCAGUGAAAUGCGUAGAUAUCAGAAGGAACAUCAGUGGCGAANGGCGCCUUCCUGGACUAAAACUGACGCUGAGGUGCGAAAGCGUGGGGA
rnacentral:rRNA from 1 species